rnacentral:rRNA from 1 species
CCGCCCCUCAUAGCAGUCGAGCGAGGGUUUUCGGACCCUAGCGGCGGACGGGUGAGUAACACGUAGGCAACCUGCCUGUAAGACUGGGAUAACAUAGGGAAACUUAUGCUAAUACCGGAUAGAGUUUUGCUUCGCAUGAAGCGAAACGGAAAGAUGGCGCAAGCUAUCACUUGCAGAUGGGCCUGCGGCGAAUUAGCUAGUUGGUGAGGUAAAGGCUCACCAAGGCGACGAUGCGUAGCCGACCUGAGAGGGUGACCGGCCACACUGGGACUGAGACACGGCCCAGACUCCUACGGGAGGCAGCAGUAGGGAAUUUUCCACAAUGGACGAAAGUCUGAUGGAGCAACGCCGCGUGAACGAUGAAGGCUUUCGGGUCGUAAAGUUCUGUUGUUAGGGAAGAAACAGUGCCAUUUAAAUAAGAUGGCGCCUUGAGGGUACCUAACGAGAAAGCCACGGUAAACUACGUGCCAGCAGCCGCGGUAAUACGUAGGUGGCAAGCGUUGUCCGGAAUUAUUGGGCGUAAAGCGCCGCGCAGGUGGCUAUGUAAGUCUGAUGUUAAAGCCCGAGGCUCAACCUCGUUUCGCAUUGAAACUGCGUAGCUUGAGUGCAGGAGAGGAAAGUGUAAUUCCACGUGUAGCGGUGAAAUGCGUAGAGAUGUGGAGGACACCAGUGGCGAAGGCGACUUUCUGGCCCUGUAACUGACACUGAGGCGCGAAAGCGUGGGGAGCAAAACAGGAUUAGAUACCCUGGUAGUCCACGCCGUAAACGAUGAGUGCUAGGUGUUAGGGG